GGACCCGCACAAGCGGCGGAGCAUGCGGAUUAAUUCGAUGCAACGCGAAGAACCUUACCAAGGCUUGACAUACACGAGAACACCCUAGAAAUAGGGGACUCUUUGGACACUCGUGAACAGGUGGUGCAUGGUUGUCGUCAGCUCGUGUCGUGAGAUGUUGGGUUAAGUCCCGCAACGAGCGCAACCCUCGUUCUAUGUUGCCAGCACGUUAUGGUGGGAACUCAUGGGAUACUGCCGGGGUCAACUCGGAGGAAGGUGGGGAUGACGUCAAAUCAUCAUGCCCCUUAUGUCUUGGGCUUCACGCAUGCUACAAUGGCCGGUACAAAGGGCUGCAAUACCGUGAGGUGGAGCGAAUCCCAAAAAGCCGGUCCCAGUUCGGAUUGAGGUCUGCAACUCGACCUCAUGAAGUCGGAGUCGCUAGUAAUCGCAGAUCAGCAACGCUG
rnacentral:rRNA from 1 species